UACGGGGGGAGCAAGCGUUGUUCGGAUUUACUGGGCGUAAAGGGCGCGUAGGCGGCGCAACAAGUCACUUGUGAAAUCUCCGGGCUUAACUCGGAACGGCCAAGUGAUACUGUCGUGCUAGAGUGCAGAAGGGGCAAUCGGAAUUCUUGGUGUAGCGGUGAAAUGCGUAGAUAUCAAGAGGAACACCUGAGGUGAAGACGGGUUGCUGGGCUGACACUGACGCUGAGGCGCGAAAGCUAGGGGAGCAAACGGG
rnacentral:rRNA from 1 species